CUACGGGAUGCAGCAGUGGGGAAUAUUGGACAAUGGGCGCAAGCCUGAUCCAGCAAUGCCGCGUGAGUGAAGACGGCCUUAGGGUUGUAAAACUCUUUCGCUAGGGAAGAUAAUGACUGUACCUAGUAAAGAAGUCCCGGCUAACUCCGUGCCAGCAGCCGCGGUAAUACGGAGGGGACUAGCGUUGUUCGGAAUUACUGGGCGUAAAGAGUUCGUAGGCGGACUGACAAGUUAGAGGUGAAAUCCCAGGGCUCAACCCUGGAACUGCCUUUAAAACUGUCAGUCUAGAGACCGGAAGAGGUUAGGGGAAUACCUAGUGUAGAGGUGAAAUUCGUAGAUAUUAGGUGGAACACCAGUGGCGAAGGCGCCUAACUGGUUCGGUACUGACGCUGAGGAACGAAAGCGUGGGGAGCAAACAGGAUUAGAUACCCCUGUAGUC
rnacentral:rRNA from 1 species